UAGUUGAAUUUCGGGAUCAAUAUUUCGGUCAUGCCGUUGGUAUGCACUGUUAUCAUUGAUUUCUCACCUUCUAAAGAACCGUAAUGCCAUUAAUUUGGUGUUACGGGGAAUUAGGACUGUUACCUUGAAAAAAUUAGAGUGUUUAAAGCAGGCUCACGCUUGAAUACAUUAGCAUGGAAUAAUGAAAUAGGACAUCCGAUUCUAUUUUGUUGGUUUCUAGGAUCGAUGUAAUGAUUAAUAGGGAUAGUUGGGGGCAUUAGUAUUCAAUUGUCAGAGGUGAAAUUCUUGGAUUUAUUGAAGACUAACUACUGCGAAAGCAUUUGCCAAGGAUGUUUUCAUUAAUCAAGAACGAAAGUUAGGGGAUCGAAGACGAUCAGAUACCGUCGUAGUC
rnacentral:rRNA from 1 species